UUUUCUGGAAUGGUAAAGCACAAGGGUUGAAAUCCGAACCUUAAACACACACACACACACACACACACACACACACACACGCGCGCAAAGCAAAACCUGUCUAUAUUGCUCCAUCAUAAGAUGUAUCUCUGGAUGGAACUUUUCAAAACUAACGAGGUGGGGAUAGAAGGGUGGAGGAUGUCAUAUCUUAAGCAUGUUUUCUCAUUAGCACUUCUACAUUGUGCGUUGAUUUGAAUUUAGUUGUUGGUAUUUUUUUUUUUUUUUUGCUCAUUUCUCACCACCACUUCUCGAUUUAUCCUUUCAUCUAUUAAUGAGGAAGCAUUAAUAGAUCAGAAGAUGAGUAGCGAGGAGUUAAAUAUAAGUAGGAACAAAUACUCUAUGAGUUGGUGGGUAGAUUUUUCUAGGCUGUGUUGGUGUAAGAGAAUAAUGACUAAAUUGAAAUCAUUUUAAAAUAAUUUGAGGGCACCUGGGUGGCUCAGUCAGUUAAGUAUCUGACUCUUGAUUUCUGCUCACCUCAUGAUUUCACAGUUCAUGAGUUUGAGUCCUGCGUCGUGCUGUGUGCUGACAUCAUGGAGCCUGCUUGGGAUUUUCUCUCUCUCUUCUGCCCUUUCCCCAUGUGCACAUGCUCUGUCUCUCUCGAAAUAGAUAAAUAAACUUAAAAAAAAUAAUUUGUUCCUGGGCCUGUCUUCCCCACUAAAUUAUAUGCUCUUCUGUGGGGGGGGGGGGGUAUGUCAUCUCUUAAACAUUUAUAUCUCUCCAGCAUUCAUUAGGAGUAUCUGGCACUUAAUAGGGCUCAUUAUUUGCUGACCUGAACUUAACCAAUUGGCAUCUGGCAUGACUUGAUUUAGGACAUAAGUUGGAAAAACACUGUUUUGUAUUUUCAACAACCAGGACUGACCAUGUUCAAAACCAAAACAUUACAUUGGAAAAAAUAACUUUCCAGCCUUCUAAUCUUUUGGUCCUUACUGCCUGAAAUAGCAUGGAGUAGAGUCCUAUCUUUUGAAUUGCAUACAGAAAUCUCAUCCCUGCUACAACAAUAACAACAUAUUUAUUGAUCAAUUACUAUGUGCCUGGCAUAGUCCUACAUCUUAGAUGCAUUAACUCAUAUAAUCAUCAGAGGAAGCAGCAUUAUGGGAUAGGCACUCUUACUGUCUCCAUUUUAUACAUGUAGAAACUGAUGUAAAUGGAAACUUCUAUACCUUUCCCAAGGAGAUGUAUAUAACUUUCCCCAAAUACAAAUGUAGUGAGUGGUAGAGCAGGGAUUCAAACCCAGAAUGUCUAGCUUCUGCAUCUGUGUUCUUAGCCACUACACUGUAUUUCCUCUCUGCAUUAAGUAGCCAUGUAGACCAAAGAACCUUGAUGGUGGUUGUGGAAAGAGGAGCAGUAAAGCCAGGUGGUACCUCCUGGGACAAAAGUAAGGCAGUGCCCUGUGUCUACCCUGGCUUCCUGUGGGGUGGAGCCAGCCUGGAAGCAAUGUCUCCCUCCCUGUGACAUGUUUCGAAACCUUGGUGACCAACAUGGCUCUGACCCAGUUAAAUGGAUUAGUGAUUUCAGUUAAUACCAGCAGCACCACCAACCAGGCUGGCUUUCUUUUCCACACAUGCUCUUCUUUAAUUGGUACAGACAUAAAUUGAAAGAUGACAUUAUGUGAAUAAUAUAGUGUACAAAUGAAUAGUUUUCGGCAUCUGACAGGAUGGAAUAUAAAGGUUGGCUUCAACCAGGCCAGCUGGAUCUUAGUGACUAUUGCUGCUACCUAAUUGCUAGAUUUACAGUAUCACAUUGAAUUGAUUAAGGAAUCUCCUGAAGCUGUUGUUGAAACAAGUUCCUCAGUUGUCUAGACUUUCUACAGCUACUUACAGAAAAUAGCAAGAUAUUAUAAAGAGAUAUUGGAGGCAGUAGUGGGGGCAGGUGUGGGGAGUGUCUGUGAAUGACUUCCAGCAGUGAAUUAAUCAUUAACCCUGCACAUACAAUUCUUUGUGUACACAUUGACUUCUUUUCAUUGGUAGCCCAACUCAUACUCUAAGUCAAAGCUUUGUAUGUAGAAACAUGGGGAAAUAGUUCAAGAUAAUAAUAAAACCUCAGACUUUUUUGUGAUAUGAAAUAAGCAGAAUAUUGGUCUACCUCCUUCUAAAUAAAUGGGCAGAGGGCCUGGGUGGCUUAGUCAGUUGAGCAUCUGACUCUUGAUUUUGGCUCAGGUCAUGAUCUCAUGGUUCAUGGGAUCAAACCCUGUGACGGGCUCUAUGCUGACAGCAUGGAGCUUGCUUGGAGUCCUCUCUCUCUCUCUCUCCCCCCACCCCAAUAAAUAAAUAAGCUUUAAAAAGAAAGAAAGAAAGAAAUGGGCAAAUGAAAGAAGGCAACCCCAUUUCUGUAAUCUCCUUAUAGAAGAUCUCCAUAUUGUAAACAGAUUGCUUUUCCAAAAGUCAAUCUCUACCAUGAUUGUUACAAACUCAGAAGAAAUUUUCUCUAGACAGAACAUGAAAAAUUGUAGGUAGAACUCCAGGCUAACCCACAAGAGUGAGUGUAACUAAAAUGCUACAUAUUUGUUACAGAAGAAAAGUAGAAAAUAAUCCUGUUGAAAUAUCUUCAAGAAGUUUCAUAAGAUAUCAUUUCACUUUGAAAGCAAAUACUUAAGAAAAAGCAGUUUUAAUUAAGAUUUGGCUUACAGAAAUGAGGUUCUGUGCAGAUACCGAAGGGGUUUUCAGGAAACUUUGAGGAAGUUAGAGGUUUAUAGCACAACCCUGAUGUAUCUCAAGUAUCCAGAAUAGUCCCAGACACAUUGUUGGAUGUGCAGUGAAUACAUAUUGAGUGCCUGCUGGUUGAACUUUAUUUUCACUUCAGGAACUAUGACUUUCCCAUCUCUUAUAAAGGCACAGUCAUUAGAGCUAUAUUCAUGUCAUAGAUGAAAUAAAGAAGGGGAAAGAGGACAAAGGGGAAUGUUGAGAAGCACUGAUGUGACAUGUAGGUUACCUGAAACAUAAUUAAUGAUCAAUAAAGAAAAACCCAGAGAUUACUUUGCAUGGUCCUCUCCUCAUCCUUUUACCCAAGGCAAAAUAAAGAAGGGGAUAGGAAAAGUUUUGUGCCUUGCAUUUCCUGGGCCAGCCACCAAGAGGUGCUGGCCAGAGCUCUUUGCAGGUGGGAGAAGAGAGAAGCCGAAAUAAGAUUCUUUUGAGUGUAUAGCCUUAGUUAGAGAGGGAGUGUUGUAUAUCUUUAAUGGAUUAUAUGUAGAGGAUAUAUUUUAAAUCUUCAUUAAUGAAUGAAAAUAUUAAACUGGUAUAGGAUAUUGGAAAGAGCACUGGGCAAAGAGUCAGACCUGCAUUUCAACUUUUAGCUCCUCUACUUAAUAGUCACAUCACCUUGGCUGAGUUUCAUUUUUUUAAAACUUACUUCUCUUUUCUGCAAAAUGUGGUGAAAAACUUUCUUCCUUUUCUAUUUACUGUAAUUGUGAUUCAGUGAGAUUCUGCUCAAGAAACAACUUAGAAGACUGUAAAAUGACAUUUAUAUUUCCAAAAGUGUAAUGAUUUAUUCACCCAGGAAAGUGAAGAUGUUGGGCCAGGUGACCUCUGAGAUCAUUUCUCCUCUGAAAUUCUGAUGAUCAGCACGGCCUGGGUUUAAAUUAUCAUGUUAUUCCUCAUCAACAGUUUACUAAUGUCACUGACCCAAGAAAGAGGAAUGCUGUGGCCCAUUACAGGCUAUGCCCCUGGUUUGCUGAACAGUUUGUGCCUGGAUUCUACUUCAAAGGACAACUGAGGAGCCCAUGAAACAUUUUGAACCAAGUUUUCCAGAGAUGGAUAAGCAAAGCCCCAAGGGGAUGAGACCCUGGAAAUCAGACAUGUUUGGAUGAGAAGAGAGCUGAGAAACCACCUAAAACCUGGCUAGCUGGCCCAGGCAGAGCAGGUGAGAUGUGUGGUCCCAUGGGCACCCCUGCACCCACACAGGAACCAAGGUGAGAGACAGACAGAACAGCAGUAGCCACGAAGACAAACUUCACCCACUCACGCUUCUGCCUGGGGCCAACCUGGAAACCACAAUGAAGAGCCCCUGUAGUGCCAGAUAGACUUGUCCCAAUGCUGAGAACUGUGCCAGUUUCUAAAGUAACAACUUGCCCCUGUCCCCCACAGAGCGCCUGGUGCCAUCUGCUGAGAUUCUUUCAGUAAGUAUUAUCUGGCUUAUACCAGAUAUUUUUGAGGGAACAAAAGGAAGCUUUCGUUUUGAAACAUCCCUUCUCACGUGUUAGCACAGUCCUUAAAUAAUGCACCUUUGAGGUUCUGAGUAAUUCUUCCUGCUGUCAGCCCUGAGCGUGUCUGGAUGCCAAGAAUUUGCUUGAAAUGCACGGGAUGCCCUAUCCUAGCUUGAGCUGAAAAUGUGGUUUUGAGGACCCAGUAGCGUUGAGAUCCUGUUGCUGUCCUCCCUGGGUUCUGGGACCCAGUGGCUGUGUGGUCAGGGGCAAACCCACCCUCUCUCUGGGCUUCUCUGUCCUCCUGUGUCAGGGAGGAGUUUGGAUUUGACUGCUUCUCAUUCCUGGCUGCACAUUAGAAUCACUUUAAAAAACAAUGCCAGGACUGCGCACCCAGGAAUCCUUACUUAAUUGGUUGGGGUGUGGCCAGUCCUGAGUAUUUUUAAAAACAGUUUUCCAGGUCUGCAAUUGCUGAGUUAAAUGAUCUCUGGAACCUUCCAGGUUCUAUAAAAGUCCAAAAUCCUGAUAGUCUUGUCCUCCAUUGUAUUUAUUGAAUUAAUUUUUUCCCAGACAUAUUUUUUUUUAAUUUUCAGUAUGUUACAUAGGCUAAUUUUUAGAAAUACCUUUAAUCAUAUACAAAUGAUAUAUUAUUAAAGUAUUGUUUGUUGGGGUAUAAUGGCAUAUAAUACUGCAUGUGUCUAAAAUAUACGAUCUGAUAUAUUUUCACAUAUAAGUAAUAGUUACCACAAUCACAAUAGUGAACAUACCCAUCACCCCCAAAGUUUUCCAUGCCCCUUGGUGAUCCUCUUACCCCUUUUCUCUCCCAUCCUCUUCCCCAGGUAACCACUGAUCUGCUUUCUGUUACUAUAGUUUGCAUUUUCUAUCAUUUCAUACCAGUGGAAUCAUACAAUAUGUACUAUUUUUCACUUGGCUUCUUUUUUAAAAAUAUUUUUUUUAUAUUUUAGAUAGAGAGAGACUGAGCACAAGUGGGUGAGGGGCAGAGAGAGAAGGAGACACAGAAUCCGAAGCAGGCUCCAGGCUCUGAACUGUCAGCACAGAGCCUGACACCGGGCUCAAACUCACAAAUUGUGAGAUCAUGACCUGAGCUGAAGUCAGACGCUCAACCAACAGAGCCACCCAGGCGCCCCUCGCCUGGCUUCUUAUUAUGUCCUUAUACUUCAGAUAUCAAGCUUUUUGAGAACAGGAUCCACCUUUUAUUUCUUUUCUCUUCCUCCAGGACCCCAGCUUAUCUUUGCCCCAAGAAACCCUUUAGCCAUUAUUUGCUUGAUGGGAAUCAGACCUUUAUGACCUUAGAAGUGAGCUUCAGUUUGGUGUCCAACCCCCUGCUGCUUCUCUGUAGGUUCCUAGUCAGCAGCUUCAGCUCAGUGUAAAAAUAAUGCAUUAGCUUAAAUGCAUUCAUUUGGGGUGCGUGGCGUUCUAGGGCUCCAGAAAAUGAGUGUUGUGUGUCAAGGUAUGUGUUGAGGCAGGGGCAACUACCUGGGCAAGGUCCUUGGCUUUCACCGAUUCUUAAUCACUAGAUUUUUUUUUUUUUUCAGAGAGAGAAGAGAAAGAGAGAGAGAGACCGGGGUGGGGAGGGGCAGAAAGAGAGUGGAGCUUGACUUGGGGCUCGAUCUCACUACCCCGAGAUCAUGAUCCCAAGAUCACCUGAAAUUGGACACCCAACUGACUGUGCCACCCAGGCGCCCCACCAGAUUCUUGACCCAAAAGGAGGAACUAUAGAAUUUAUGUCAUGCUUUAGUUCUAUUAUAAUCCUAUAUAUAUUUUACAAAUAUGAUGUCUAAUCGUAACUCCUCUACGUCUGUCCCCUCUCCUCCCUAGCCCCUCUCCUUUGUUUUGUUCUCUGCCUGCUCUGAUUAUACUCUCCCUCCUUUGCUAAAGAUCCAAUAGGCCUGUUGAGUGGCAGUGCGGCUCCACAGGAACUUUUUGCCUGGCCCUUCUCUUUAAGACCUUCUCACCUAAGUCAUGUGGAGUGUUGUGCCUCUUUAGUCAAUGAUUCUUAUUCCCCUUUGUUUAGCGCAUUCCCCGAAUACCUGGAUACCCAUUGUGCUCAAAUAUCACAAACCUAUAUUUCCUCAAAACCCAGAGCAUGGGAUUCCUUUUUACCUUAAGCAAGAUCAGUGUUUGCAUUGUUGUAAAUUAGUAUUAUAAGAACCGGACCUAACAAGAAAUAGCACUGCAAAUUCACAAUUGAACCACCUCUACUUAAUCCAGAGAUAGCCCCUCUUAUCCCCCUAUAUAAAACACACAAAAAAAUUUUAAUAAUACUGUGUCUGAUUUUAGACUGAGAUGAAUAAUAGCAACAUCAGCUUCUAAAUGAUAAAUCCCUAUGUAUCUGGCACAGUCACACAAACAGUGGUUUCCAAGUGGCUUCCAGAGAUAGGAGAGAGCAAGAAAAACAUCUUACCUUCUGGCCAAAAGGCCAAAAUAGACUCUACCUUGCUCCAAGUCCACCUCAACCCCUUGCAUGUUUGCAAGGGUCUGAUAUACUACACCCAGCAAUGUUCUCUGGCUCCCUGCUUGGGACUAACUCUUAACUUUUAUUCUCCCUUUCACCUCUAUGCUUCCCCAGCAGAAUAGUGGCUAUGGGAACUAUAACAUUUCAGUCCAGUUUCUACACAAUCUCAUUCCUCUGCAAUAAAGGCAAACCUCUGAAAGUUACUUACGUGGCAGUGGCAAAGACAAGCCCUGGAUUUGGAAGCUGAGUUUGCUGAUGCCAGCCCGCUUAAAUAGCUGGGUUGGCUGACGCAGGCUGUUGAUAGCACGUUUAUUUACGCCUGUGAGUGCACGCUCAAGCAAGGACCUGAAAAACCUGCGGUGUGGGCAGGAGGAAGGCAGCUGAAAGUAUGCCGAAGUUACAUCUCUCCUGGUUAUUCAAGUUUGAUAUGCAGGCGGUGACUUCUGAGUUUUCAUGGAACUUUCUCAGCACCACCUUCUUGUGCCUGAUCUCUUUCUUAGCCAAGUAAGACUCUUCAACCAAGAUUAGAUGGGAGAUGCUGCUGAGUGAGGAAGGAAGCAACAAAGGACCCUGAACCCCUGCACCAAGUUCCUUAUUUUGAAUGGGCUUCCAGUUAGAUGUUGCCUCAUUUUAAACCAUAGGCUUGGUGAGGUUGAUUUCACAGCCCUGUGGGCUGGAUGCCAAGCUAAGAGCUUGGACAAUUGCCCAAUUGAUGAAAAGUUGUUUUGUUGUGUUUUGUCUCCAGGCACAGAAUGCACAAAUAAAGAACAGUUAUAGGGGAGGUUCAGCCUGGGAUGAUACAAUUUUAGGUCCCCUUCAGAAACUAUUUUGAUUUCUUUCUUCUGCAUCUGUACUUUCCUCCUGACUUCCCCUCCCCUUCCUUUGUUAAUGAAAUUCCUAUCUAAGAGUUGAAAGAUUCCCCAUGAGAGCUCAAAUAAAAAGCCAGUGUGUGAACAAGCCUGUGGGAAGAUGCACUCCAAAUGGGAGAGAGUGUGCAGUGGUUCGUGUGACCAUCAGUGGAAAUGUUUCUGAAGACGUUUUCCUUGGUGGGCUUCAGGAACUCUUGUGUCCAUUGUCACAGAUCAAGAGAAUUAGGACAGAGGAUGCCGUGAGCUAGAUGUUAAGCUCCAAGAAAAGAACAAUGUAUGGGAAAUGAGUCUUCCCUGAUGGAAGUAACACUUGGCAGCAAAGAAGAAAAAGAAGAUGGCUGUCUGGUCCAGAGCAACUAGAGGGAUCAUUGCUCCAUUAACCAAAGCCUCCGUGAUGGCAGAAGGAUGGCCCCCCAAAGAUGGCCAUGUCCUAAUCCCCAGAACCUGUGAGUGUGUUAUCUUGCUUGGCAAAAGGGACUUGGAAGCUAUGCUUAGGGUGUGGGUGUGGAGGUGGUCCUGGAUUACCAGGUGGGCCCAAUCUAAUCACAUAAAGCAGAAGAGGCAAGCAGAAGAGUGAGAGAUCUGCUGUUGAGGACUUGACCCUCUACUACUGGCUUUGAAAAUGCAGGAAGGGGCCACAAGCCCACAGCAAAGAGCAGAGGACCUCAGUCGUACAACUGCAUGGAACUGAAUUCUGCUGGCAAACCCAGUGAGCAGGGAAACAGAUUCUUCCCCCCAGGAGUUUCCGUUUCUGGGUGUAUGAUUCUGGACAUAGCUCAGCUGAGAUCUUUGCUUCAGGAUCUCUCGAAGACCGCAACCAAGUUUCAACAGAUCCAUUUCCAACUCACUCAAUGGAUAUUGGCAGUUCCUUACAGACUAUUGGAUUGACAGCCUUACAGGCUGUUGGCCACAGGCUUCCCUCAUUUACUUGCCAUAUGUGCCAUUUGUGCUUGUCCCACAAGGCAUCUGACAUCAUCAAAAGCAGCAAGAGAGAGAGUCUGCUAGCAAGACCCAAAUCAUAACCCUUUGUAACCUAAUCACAGAAAUGGCAUCCCAUCAUUGUUGCCAUAUUCUGUGAGUUACAGACAAGUCACCAGGUCCAGCCCACCAUCAAAGGGAGUGGUUUACACAAGAGUGUGAAUUCCCAGAGAUGGGAAUCAUUGGGGGUCAUUUUAGAAAUCUGCUUAUCACAACCACCUAAACCUUCAUUCUUUCCCAAAACUUAGAAUCUGUUUGCUGAGAUAAUUCUCUGGUAGUCUUCACCAUCUUGGUUGAACUGAAGCAGAAAAAUCUCAUAACCUUAAAUUUCCUGUACUAUUAAUAGUGAAUGCUUAUAUAGUGCUAACUACAUGCCAGGAUUUACAUGAGCUUUCUACGAGCUUUACAAAUAUUAACUUGUUUAAUCCUUACAACAACCCUCUGAAGUGGACCCUCUUGUUAACAUGUUUUUCAAAAAAGCACCUAAGUUACAGAGAAGUAAGUGUCUAGCCAAAGGUCACAUAGCUAUUAAGUGGUAGAAAUGGCAUCUGAGAUUCAAGAGUUUGGUUCCAGAAUUCCUGCUCUUAACCAUUCUGCUAUUCUACAACCUGAAUAUAACUGGGAUACAAUGUUGUCCAGUCGCAGCAUGUUAUGACAUUAAAACAAACAUUAAAAACAUUGAGCAACCAAAACAGAAAUUCCAACAUUUAUUUAGCAUUAAAAGAUUCUGUCGAAACCCUACAGCAACAUGUUUUGUGUCUCCAAGUCUUUUAUGUGCCAAGUCUUCCCUUCAAAUGUUCUCUGAAACCCAGCCCAGACUAUUUUUCAUUUUCUUUUUCCCUAUUUCUCUCUUAGCUCCUUAUUAUAUAGGUUGGCUUGGUCUUCUGGCUUCACUCUUUAGUGUAUUUAGCCCAUGACCUGAAUGUUCCAGAGCAAAGAGUAAUCCUGGAAUUGGCCAAGCCACCAGGAAUUUACCCCUUUUCCUCCUAACUGUCCAGUCUGGUUUCUCUCUCCCUGUUUCUAUGUCAUAAGGAGAGCAUAGAACUCAUAGACAUAACUCUCCUUCAAGUGAUGAGGGGAGAGGAAGAAACUGAGCAAUCGAGAAAAUUCUUGUUAGAUGGUGGGGGGUGUGGAGGGUAGGAACACAUAAGCUGAUAAUUCUUAUCUUUGUCACAUUCCAAAAGAUGCAUGACUGUUAUAUAAUGUUCUGUCACAGAUGAGGCUGCCAAGUGGAGAAGAUUCCUUCUCAGAUCUUGCUCAUCUAGCUCUUUCCUCUGAGGUUGUGAAUUGGGGUAAAGCACAUGAAUAACCAGGGAGAAUGAGAGAUGCUUCUAGUUCUCCAAGUCCCUCUGCCAACCAACAGACCCAGGGUCCACACUUUGCUUCCAAGCCUGGGGUCUGUUCACUGGAAGGUUGUGAGAGCUGGUCCAGGAAAGAUGAAAGAGCCAUGCUUCAUUUUCUCUCAAACGACAGAACUGACAGUUAAAUCCUGUAGUAGCUACCUCUCUGCAAAGCCCCUCCAAUGGUCCCUCUUCUCCGUUCCUGCUGCCAACACCCCCAUUCAUAAUUUCUGCUCUGAUCUCUUCAACUGUCCUCCAAGUUAUCCCCCACUUCGUUUUUUUCCACCUCAAUCAAGUUCACAUACCACUGCUGGUUUAACCUUCCCCAGUGCCUUGCUCAAAAUCUCAGUUGCUCCCCUUUCUCUAUAAAUUCUCAUCAAAACCUUCAAAACCCCAAAAGCCCUCUUUCCAGACAUAUUCUUCCACAUGUAAUGUAUGACCCAUCUAAAAUAGAUGACUCACUGAUUGCCAAGGACUCUGCAUUUCUCGGCCGCACGCCUCCUACCCCCAUUAUUCCUCCUGCCUCUGAACCCCCCUCACCAUGGUAACAAAUUCAAAGACCAUCAGAAAAGACCACCUCCACUGAGAAAUAUAUCCAGAUAAUUACAACCGAGUGUGGUUUCUCCCUUCUUUCAUUCCCUAUAUCAUUCAUUUGAUCUAUAUGGCAUUUUCCUUAUACUACUAUAUCCACAUGCUACUCAAUUAUUAGAAAGUACAUGCUUUGAGAGAAGAGGUGUUUCUUGCUGAACUUCAAAGAUCCUACAGUGUCCAGCAAAAAGUCUUAAACAUGUACAUGUUAAACAUUCAGUAAGUCAUAUCUGAAUUGAUUAUCUAAUUUAUCAUUUUACAUCUUUUGCUAGAAUAAGCAAGACAUAUUCCUUUGAAGAAGGAGGGCAUGAAGAAAAGCACAGCAGUGGCCCUUGACCUGGGAGGUCAUAGUCUUGUAUAUUACACAGCUUGAAUUUCAUCAAAGUUCAUGAGCAUUUAGUCUCUGGGUGUUACCUAGUGAGCAAUGCUUUUAACUAACCUGACCUCAUGCUUUUCAACCCUGUCACCUACCACUGUCAGAGAGAGAGUGGCACAGGGCAUGUCAAACAGGAAAGACAGUUACAUCAAUUCAAGUCUGCAAAUACCCAUUCAACACCUACUAUGAGCCAGCAUUCUGCUAAGUGCUAGGGACAUAGAAAUGAACAAGAAAAAUGUGGCAUGGACAUCCCUUAAAUAUAAUUCCAGUAAGAGUAGCUACCAUGUACUGAUAGCUUAUAUACCAGGCCCUAGACUCAGUGUCUGACAUGCUUUGUCUCACUUAAUCCUCAUGGCAAUCCCUAGCAUCACCCUCAUUUAUAGUUAGGAAAAUGGAGGCUUAAUGAGGUCAAGUAUUUUGCCCUGGAUUAUCAGGCAGUGGACCUAGGAUUUAAACCUGGGGUUUAUGACAUGAGUUCAUUCUUAGAAGUACUUGCUUCGCUUCCUCAACACGUUUCUGUUCUGCUAAAAAUAGAUUCUUGCUCUUUUUAUUCUUUGAGUCUUGCAGUGUAGCUUUAGGUGAGGGUAUGUAUAACAUAAACAAUUUUGCCUUGCUUUUCCCUUGGAGAUUCCACAUGUCCAUAGAGCAGUCUACCCCUGGAUUUCUCCAACAUUCCUUCAUCUGCAAUACUCAGACUGAGAGAGCCUGUGGGCAGAGGCAAUGUAGGUUCAUACAGCUUAAAGAUAUCCCUCCCACCUUUCUCUGCCCUGAUACCCUUGACUAUGUGCUUUAUCCUUUUCUAUUGUAUGAGUUUUUGCAAAUCUCUUCAAAUUCUUUGUGGAACAGGUAGUGUAUAAGUAAAUCAAAUAUGCCUUACACCUGUUCAGUAUGUCACAUGAAUAUAGGCUAAUAGAUGCUUGAUGCGUGAAGAAGCCUGAAAGAAUGUCUUACCUAGUUUUUAUUUUGUUCCAUAGAAAUGCUUCCUUGGGGUUAUUGGGACCCUCACUCCCCACUGCUUCUGGAGCACUCCCCCAUAACUCUUUUGCAUAUAGAGCUUCCUGGAACAUUUCGUCUGAAAAAUGGAUUCUCUAACCAAUGAAUGUGUAGUUUCUCAUUGGAACCCUGUACAUUGCUGAUAGAAUGUAAAAUUGUACAACCCCUAUGGAAAAUGAUAUGGUGACUUCUCAAGACGUUAAACAUAGAAUUACCAUAUGAUCCAACAAUUUCACUUCUGGCUAUAUACCCAAAAUAAGUGAAAGCAGGGACUCCAAUACUUGCAUACUCAUGUUCGUAAUAACAUUAUUCACAAUAGCCAAAAGAUAGAAGCAACCCAAGUGUCCAUCAAUGGAUAAAUGGAUAACCAAAAUGUAUGUGUGUAUACACACACACACACACACACACACACACAUAAAAUUCAGGCUUAAAAAGGAAAUUCUGACACAUGCUACAAUAAGGAUGAACCUUGAAGAUAUUAUGCUGAGUGAAAUGAACCUGACACAAAAGGACAAAUAUAAUGUGACUCCAUGUAUAUGAGAUACCUAUAAUAGUCAAAUUCAUAGAGUAAGAAAGUAGAAUGGUGAGUGUCAGGGGCUGAGGAAUGAGGAGUUACUGUUUAAUAGGUAUGUAAUUUCAAUUUGGGAAAAUGAAGAAGUCCUGGAGAUGGAUGGUGCUGAUGGUUGGACAGCAGUGUGAAUACAUUUAAUGCCACUGAAUGAUAUAUACUUAAAAGUAGUUAAAGUGGUAAAUUUUAUAUAAUAUAUAUUGUACCACAUAUUUUUUUAAAGUUCCAUUUCUUGGGGCACCUGGGUGGCUCAGUUGGUUGAGCUUCCAACUUCGACUCAGGUCAUGAUCUCGCGGUUCAUGAAUUUGAGUCCCACGUCGGGCUCUGUGCUGACAGCUCAGAGCCUGGAGCCUGUUUCAGAUUGUGUGUGUGUGUGUGUGUGUGUGCAUGUGUGUGCCCCUCCCCCACUCACGCUCUGUCUCUGUCUCUCAAAAAUGAAUAAAUGUUAAAAAAAAUUUUUUUAAGUUCAAUUUCUCAUUUAAUGGAAGAGGAAUCUGAGUUUCAAGGUGAACUGGCUUGUCCAAGUGAAUGGCACAGUUGAGAAUAGUAGAACUCAGGGCUACAGGCCAUCAGACUGUGGCUUUCCCUGUUGUGACAGAUGUCUCCUCCUGGGAAUGAGGUGUCCAGAGGAUACUCCUGGGGAACUCCAGAAAUCAACAUUCUCUAGAGUCAGGAAGUAUUUCCACAGCAACCCACUUUCCUCCUCUGUGGCCUUGCUAUCUUCAUUCCAUCUUUUGCUUUGUCCCAUUUUUGUCUCCUUUUUCUCUCUGAACAAAAUGCUCUUGAUGGUCAAAGCAAGCAAGGUCCUCCUGGCAAGGCCCUGGAGAAACAAAUGCAGAUGGAAUGGCCUCCGGUGGAAAAUGUAUGUAUAGAAAGCAGUUUUUCUGUUUUCCCCAACUCUCUUGGCUCUGAACUGUUGGUAUUUUACUCAAAGUGGAAUUUUCAGCCCUAGCUAGGCUCCUAAUGCAAGAGUUUUGUUUUUCCAUGUGCGUCCCUCCUGAGCAUGGAUGCUCCUGCUGCUCUGCCUGUUGAGCUUGAACAGUGCCUCCAUUAUUGGAAAAGCAUGCCCUGACAAGCUCUGAGGGCACAUCCUAUCCAACCUGAGAGAGGGCACACCCUUGGGAAACAGGUUGUUUCACCCACUGAGGACACAUCUGCUCCCUUAAGAAUGCUCAGGAUACCAGGAGAGAGGCCUCAGUGUGACUCAAGUCAAGAUUUUAUUUGGUCUUUGGAUAGACCAAAGGCUUAACCUAGGGUAGGAAGGCAAAGAAAGGUGUUGAGAGUUUGAAAACCACUCAGAUAGCUAAGGUGAACCUUCCACAAGUAGAUCAGCUAGUGCCAUGAAGGGAAACAGUUUUUUAACUGUUAGUCAAUAAAUAUUUACUGAGCAUCUAUCAUGGGCUAGACAUUAUAUUAGAAGCUGAGGACAUCUGAUGAAUGACAAAUAAUCCUUUGCCCUCAUGGAUCUUAUAGUGUAGUGGAGGAAGGAGAUAAGUAAGGACACAACUAAAUAAGAACAUUAUAGUGAAGUGCUGAGGAGGAAACAGUGAGAUGAUGGGGGGUAAGGAGUUAUACUGCUGCUUUAGAUGAGGUGAUUGGAGAAGGCCACCAUGAGAAAGCAAAUCAAAGCUGAGGCCUGAAAGAUAAUAGGUAUAUAUGAAAAGCCAGAACAACGUAUGCAAAGGCUACAAGAAAGAGGGUGGCAUGUGUGAAUACCGGAGAGGCCACUGUUGUGGCAGGACGAUGGAUAGUGAAGGAAGUAAGAGACCAGGACUUAUGGGUCUUGGUGGGGACCCUAGAGUAAGGAGUUUAGCUUUUUUCAAAGGGCAGCAGGAAGCCUUUGAUGGUUUAAACAUAGAUGGAAAUGAUUCUUAACAGACCUCACAUCCUUGUCUGAGACCUUCCUACUGUGAUCAUUCAAUUCCCCAAAUUACUGGGUCCCAGUUUUAAAUAAGCCCUUCUCCACUCUCAUGCUGAAGAGUAGAAAUUGGGCUGUCAAAUUCCAGAAACCCACAAGAUUCCUGAAUGGACUGGCCAUGUUAAAUCAACUUGCAUAUGUUUCCAUCUCUUCAUCUGCUUUCAAGGUGUUGGAAUUCAGCAUUAAAAGCCUCCUCCUGUCUGAGGCGUGACAAAGCAGAAAGAAGCUCAAGGGCGUAUCAUUGAUCUCACUACAUCUGGAGUAAAGAUCAGUCCAGCUGAUCUUUAAAUUAAAAGUACAGAUUUCCUUUCAUGCCUCCUCGAACUUAACAACUAAAAUUAAGCAACAGGCAUUGAACUGGUGAACAACACAUUCAUCAAAAUCUAUCUGGGCAUAUUUAUUUAUCAAAGCUACAAUUAACCUUAAUGGAGUCUCACCCAUCUCAUCCCUGUGGCCCCACCCUCACCCCCACCUGUAACCCAGAAAAAUAGAAACUGUUUUAUGGGAGCAUAUGGACCCAGAGCCCUUUUACAGAGUAAUCAUCUAUGUCCUGCUCCCUAAAACACUGGACUGGACUAUGGGGCAUGGAAAACAGGUUGACAUCUGGAAGAAAUGUAGGGAAAGUAUAUGUUCCAGCUGGAAAGGUGGGAUUCUGGCCCAUUUUUCUUUCCACUGAAGGACUGUCUUAACUUGGUCACUUACAGUAUUCCUGGCUCCUGCUUGACUUCUUUCUUUUCUUUCAUUUGUCCCACAGAUAUUUUUUGAGCAGUUAAUACACAUCAUGCAGAAAUGUCUUUAUGAAUCUUUUCUGGAAUGAUAUAGUAGAAGAGCUUGAAUUCUGAAGUCAGGAGACCUCAGUUUUGAGUCCAGGAAGAUGUUGCUUGUCUGGAGCAAAUAAUUUUAGGGUUCCCAAAAUUUUAGUAUCUGUUUUGGCGAUCUAAAACCUAUUCUGAGGAUCAAGUAUAAUAAUGAGUAUGAGAGUUCUGUAAAUCAUAAAGUGUUCAAAAUGAUAGUUGGUUUUUGAGGAUAUUGCAUUUUCAUCCUUGUGGUCACUCAUUACCUCUCCAGAGGAAGCUAACAGAGGUUCAAAGUUUCAUUUGUACAUGCUCCAUCCAAGGUCCACUGAGCAUUCCUAACAAUGUAUUCUGAUGGUCAUAUAUAUGUCUUUGUAAAAUUUGGGAAAUAAUGAUAUUUUAAUAGCAACUGGUUAAGAUCACUAUGUCUUUCCUUUGUGACUUUUCACCAUCAAUCUUUACCUAUUAAACAGUGAUGAAUGACAAUAGGCAUUUUUGGUAUCUGGUCAAACAGAAGUUGAGUUGGGGAUGCAUGACGUUUGGGCUGUGUGGCACAUGUUUCUGUAGUUUGCAGCCACUUCCAUGUUUAGGGUUAGGUCAGGUUAUCACCAGGCCUAUUGUAGGAAUGGUUUCCAUGAAUAUUUCUGACUCUACAAGGUCAACUCAUUUGGCACCAUAACAUAAAGUGCAGGGCCAAGGGCAAAAUUGUGAUAUGAACAUGUCCCAUGGUAUCCAGCACCCAGUAAUGGAAGAGCAAUAAGGUUUGGAACAUAUGGGAACAAAAGAUAGUCUUCAGAAUGUUCUUUGAAUCAUUAGAUACGUACAAUUCUAAGUGGAAGUUUCAGUUCUCAUUGACACCUGGUUAAAAGUUUGCUGCUAUCAGAAAUAUACUUGAAAAAAAAGAAAUAUAGUUGAUAGUAUAGUGUACACAAUUAUUAAACCAUCAUAUUUUUUUCUUUUUUGAUGGGAAUCUUGCAAAAUAUAAUUGAUCACAAUCCCUAGGUUUAUAGGUCAUGAACUUGUGGCAGUAUUACCAAUGGAAGGCAUAUGUGUGUGUGAAGUCUGAUUUUAUGCAUCAUCACAUCAAAUAAGAUCACCUCUUAGAAUAUCUGAUACUCCUUGUGCUAACAAAAAUCUGUUGGUUGAUGAAAAUGCAUACAACGUUGCCUCAGAUACAGCAAAAUGGCCUGAAGAAGUAAAUGUUCUAUGUCAAAACUCCCAUACAUAUUCAUUAAUAUAUCAAUGUAAGUAAUAUAAAAAUAAUUUGAUUACAUGAUUUUGCAGAUCAAUAUAACAAGAAGCAAGUUAAAAUUGCUCUUCUGUAUGCCUUAAUUUCAGAAUAAUUUUGUAUGUUUUUUAGAAUUACUGAUCAUAUAAAAAUUACCCCAAAACUUUAUAGAGGCAUGUUGGGUAGUGAAUAAAGAAGAUAAUGUUACUUUUUUGAAUUUGAUGUUUGUAACAUUUGCCAGCUUUUUUACAGUUGAAAAUUACUAUGAUUUCUUUUCUCAUUCUAAAUAUUUAAUGUUUUUUAUACAUACUUAAUUUUGUACUCUUUUUUUAAAGAGGGCCCCCAAAUUGUAUAAAUUUCAGGCCCAUCAAAGUCUGGAUCCAACCUGCCUGAUUUGGUGAAAAAUGUGGUUCCUCCCACCCUGCUGUAAACAGAAGUCUAGUAUCCCUGCCCCACUUACAGCUCCAUCCUUCAUGUAAGAGCUCUAAAGCCAAGAGUGCACACUGCAGAUAGCAGGGCCUGUCACCCAGGAAAAGAAGCAGAGCCCGAGUCUGCCAAUGAAAAGAGUCUAACUAACAGGUUCCUGUAAUUUUGGGUUGGGGUAAGAUGCCAAGAGAGGGGAAAGAAGGAAGGAAACUGAAUUGGUUACCAAGGCAAAUGCUCUCAGAUAAAAGCCUUACAGAGCCAGCUCACAGUGAGGAUAUUAAAAGAUUGUUUACACAUCUCACCCCAUACUAUUAUUUCAGUGACAAUAACUAACCAUAGGGAAAUACCCCUGUGUGGUGGAGAGUGUUAAUUGUCUGCCAAAACCCAUCUCCUUCCUUCCAUAGAUGUUGAUUUUAAGCCAGACAAAUAGACACUCACAUAGAGAUUCCACUUCCCCGGGUCCUUUGUGACUGGCUGCACCCAUGUGACUAAGUUCACCAAUGGCAUGUGAGCAGGAGAGAUGUGUGGCCCAUGUACCUGGCUUGCUUUUAUUUUUUAUUUUAUUUUUUAAAAUUUAUUUUGAGAGAAAGAUGUGAACAAGGGAGGAGCUGAGAGAGAGGGGUUGGGUGGGGGUGGGAAUCCCAAGCAAGCUCCAUGCUGUCAGUGCAGAACCUGACUCAGGGCUCGAACUCACGAAAUGUGAGAUCAUGACCUGAGCCAAAACCAAGAGCCCAACGCUUAACUAACUAAGCCACCCAGGCACCCCCCUGGCUUGCUUUUAAUGAGAAAUUGUUUCCUUGGACUUUUUCGUCUUCCCUCCCUGCCAGUUGGGAAGUGACAGUCUUACUUUCAAACAUGAAGAUGAGAACAAUGAACUGAGCCAGAAGUUUCCAACUUUUCAGUUCAUAGUUACCCUUAGUAUCUCAGUAAUUUUAUCACAAUGCUCCUGAGCCAAGAGAAAGAACUAACAGCUCCGUUUAUUAAGUAGCUUUGUCCGAACAACCUAAUCAGUACUUACGUCCUAACAACUUAGUGUUAAGAACUGUGAAGGGUCUGAGAUUUUAUCCUAUUUGCAAGCUAAUGAGUUAGCCAGUCACAUUUCAUGGAGGUUGGCAGAAGACAUGAGACUCCUGGGUCAGAGAGGCAGGAAUGCAUUACUCAUGGCUGUAGCAAUACCAAGAGUGUCAGCAUUAGGUCUGGUUUCCCGAGCCUCAAUUCCAAGGGACUAUGUGAAGAGGGCUGUGUGAGACGUGUACCCACAGUGGCUUGUGUUACAGGAGAGGUAACCUGAAUCUCAGGUUACCAAGCUUUGGCAAUCUGAAUCUUUUAUAUGAGCAAUAAGCCAGCCUGAUCUUUGCCCUAGAGGGAGAUAUUGUUUCUAUUAGACUAGACAGUAAGUAGACCUGCUCUUUGUUCCAGAGAGAGUCAUCAGUAUUUCUAUCUUCCAAGGCUAUUAGCUAUACAAAUAUACUUGAAAAAUUAGUCUAGACCAAAGGCAAUAAGUGCCUCUGCUUACAAUAUAUGUAAAACCAUAAGAUACAUGGAGAAUCAUCUUCCAACAUUUAGAAGCCAUUUGCAAAUAUAUAUAUAUAUAUGCAUAAAUCAAAAGAAAAAUAUUUUUACUUUAAAACAACUGUGAACACUUGGUAAUGGGAUUGUGCACCUGCUGGGCACUGCACAACUCCUCAAACCUUGGAAUCAGAUUGGACAACGCCACCCCAUUCCCUGUCCCACAUUGAUUUUCUCAUAGUACUUUUUCUCAUUGCAACCAUAGCCUCACAAAGGUAUGAUGUCAUCAAAAGGAAGUAGUGUAUUCCUUUCUCAAUGUUGAAACUAUAAACCACCUAAAGCUGAUAGCAGAUGUGGUGUCUGUCAGAUGUUGAGGAUCCUAUUUUCCUCAAAAGUGGAACACAUCCUGUGGUUCUCCUGUGAGUUCACUGAGGCUUUCUGGGACAAUCUGGUGCAUGGUUUGGGAACUACAGCACUAAACAAUGGUGGAAGAAGCUCUUGAUUCUGAGUGGCCUUGUAGAGUAGCUCUGUCUUGAUAGCCUAGACUAAAUGGAAUGCUCUAUCAAAGAGAAAAAACUUCUAUCCUCUUUCAGUCAAAAUUUUCAGGCUUUUUGUUGCGGUAGGACAGCUUUUAUCCUAACUAAUACAAUUUCCUACAUAAUUUUGGCUAUGCCUCAUAAUGUAGUAUUUGAGGACAUACGUUCUCACAUUGUAGAAAAAAAUUCCUGUGUGCUUCUCUUGUCUUUCCAGCCUCAAUUAUCACCUCAGUCAACAUUUAUUGAACCUUCUUACUAUGCCCUAGCACCGGGCCAAGCAUCCUUUCAAAGUCCGAAUCCACUUCUGUUCCUAAGUCUCCUCAGUCUCAGGCUCAGCUGGUCUUUAGCCAAGUCUGAAGCAAGGCCACAUCCAUCCAGCAAGCAGAGUCUGGAAGUCACACUGAUGCCUUACUCCAGGAGUAGCUGGUAUACUUUUGUUGCUGGUCAGGCUUGGGCCUGGAACCCAGUGAGUACUCAAGUGAGCUGAACCGAACCACAUGGAUCAAUCUUUUUUUUUUUUUUUGCCAAUCUGAUUAGGACUAAGACACUUCAGACCAAAACCCAAUCUGACACACCCAGCAAGAGACCAGGAAAGAAGCACACCAGCAGCAAGACAGAGAGUGCUGGUUUAUUCUAGCACUGAGCUGGCCUGGACUAUUACUGGAGCAGUGAGCCCUGUGUACCUGUGGAAAAAGGCACAAGAAAGAGAGCAGGCUCAGCCGUCAGCAGCGGAAGGGAAACAGAGAAGAGGAAUGGCUAGGUGGGCCUUGGGUAGCACUGGUAGAAGCAGACCCUGUGUCAACUUCUGUAACAUGGGUGAGGUGUACAUGCACACACACACACACACACACACACACACACACACACAGCCAGGAGUGAGCCCUGAUGCCCUCCAACUCUACAGCAUGGAGAAAGAAGACAACGCUGAAGAGUUCCAAUCCUCUCACACCUAAAAUGAAUGACAUUUUAAUGCACAUUGAUCACUAGUAAAUUUGACCCAAUAAGAAUCCUAGAAUUUGAACAAUCCACGCCAAUUUUUCGUCUUUAAAAAAAAAAUUUUUUUUUUAGUUUAUUUUUUGAGAGAGGGAGAGAGAGAGAGAGAGAGAGAGCAAGGAAGGGGCAGAGGGAGAGGGAGAGAAAGAAUCCUAAGCAGGCUCUGCACUGUCAGCGCAGAACCCUAUGCGAGGCUGGAACUCAUACACCAUGAGAUCAGGACCAAAGCCAAAAUCAAGAAUCAGACACAACUGACUGAGCCACUCAGGCACCCCACCAAUUUUUCUUCUUGAGGAUAGCACAGAGAGGAAGAAAAAAAUGAAGGAUAAAGGAGCUUUGGUUCUCCUAAAGCUCAUGGUUUUACUACUACAGGAAGAAUUUAUGUACCUAAAUAUUUCAGAGGGGUUUAAAAUAAAACAAGAUUUUUUGUAAAUUUUAAAUAAUCUAGAGAAUUUAUUAUGAUCUGAGACCAGAUACCUGGUUUCAAAAUCAACUUUUAUAUGUAAUUGUUAUUUUUAACUUGUAGGUUUGCUUAAACCAUUAUGUUAUUGAAAAUAAUACCAUCGCUUUACUGAAAAAGAAAUAUAUACAUGAUAAGAGAAUUAGACGGUACAACUCCUAGCCAAUAUGAUGGGUGAAAAAGUGAUACUUUGAUUUUAUUGGCACUUCUUUAACCAUGAAUGAAGUUGAGCAUCUCUCCCAAUGUUUAAAAGCUUUAUCUGUGGGUUGCCUAUUCACAUCAUUCACCUGUUUUCUUCCUUAUUAUGUUGUUGGUAUUUUUCUUAUUGUCUUGUAAGAAUUAUUCGUAUAUGAAGGAAAUUAACAUUUUGCCUAUCAUAACUGUUUUAAGUAUUUUUCUAAGGUUUUUCUACUUUGUUAAAGGCAUUUUUCCAUGCAGAAAUUUUUAAUCAUUUAAUAUUC